rnacentral:rRNA from 1 species
GACGAACGCUGGCGGCGUGCCUAAUACAUGCAAGUCGAACGAACUCUGGUAUCGAUUGGUGCUUGCAUCAUGAUUUACAUUUGAGUGAGUGGCGAACUGGUGAGUAACACGUGGGAAACCUGCCCAGAAGCGGGGGAUAACACCUGGAAACAGAUGCUAAUACCGCAUAACAACUUGGACCGCAUGGUCCGAGUUUGAAAGAUGGCUUCGGCUAUCACUUUUGGAUGGUCCCGCGGCGUAUUAGCUAGAUGGUGGGGUAACGGCUCACCAUGGCAAUGAUACGUAGCCGACCUGAGAGGGUAAUCGGCCACAUUGGGACUGAGACACGGCCCAAACUCCUACGGGAGGCAGCAGUAGGGAAUCUUCCACAAUGGACGAAAGUCUGAUGGAGCAACGCCGCGUGAGUGAAGAAGGGUUUCGGCUCGUAAAACUCUGUUGUUAAAGAAGAACAUAUCUGAGAGUAACUGUUCAGGUAUUGACGGUAUUUAACCAGAAAGCCACGGCUAACUACGUGCCAGCAGCCGCGGUAAUACGUAGGUGGCAAGCGUUGUCCGGAUUUAUUGGGCGUAAAGCGAGCGCAGGCGGUUUUUUAAGUCUGAUGUGAAAGCCUUCGGCUCAACCGAAGAAGUGCAUCGGAAACUGGGAAACUUGAGUGCAGAAGAGGACAGUGGAACUCCAUGUGUAGCGGUGAAAUGCGUAGAUAUAUGGAAGAACACCAGUGGCGAAGGCGGCUGUCUGGUCUGUAACUGACGCUGAGGCUCGAAAGUAUGGGUAGCAAACAGGAUUAGAUACCCUGGUAGUCCAUACCGUAAACGAUGAAUGCUAAGUGUUGGAGGGUUUCCGCCCUUCAGUGCUGCAGCUAACGCAUUAAGCAUUCCGCCUGGGGAGUACGGCCGCAAGGCUGAAACUCAAAGGAAUUGACGGGGGCCCGCACAAGCGGUGGAGCAUGUGGUUUAAUUCGAAGCUACGCGAAGAACCUUACCAGGUCUUGACAUACUAUGCAAAUCUAAGAGAUUAGACGUUCCCUUCGGGGACAUGGAUACAGGUGGUGCAUGGUUGUCGUCAGCUCGUGUCGUGAGAUGUUGGGUUAAGUCCCGCAACGAGCGCAACCCUUAUUAUCAGUUGCCAGCAUUAAGUUGGGCACUCUGGUGAGACUGCCGGUGACAAACCGGAGGAAGGUGGGGAUGACGUCAAAUCAUCAUGCCCCUUAUGACCUGGGCUACACACGUGCUACAAUGGAUGGUACAACGAGUUGCGAACUCGCGAGAGUAAGCUAAUCUCUUAAAGCCAUUCUCAGUUCGGAUUGUAGGCUGCAACUCGCCUACAUGAAGUCGGAAUCGCUAGUAAUCGCGGAUCAGCAUGCCGCGGUGAAUACGUUCCCGGGCCUUGUACACACCGCCCGUCACACCAUGAGAGUUUGUAACACCCAAAGUCGGUGGGGUAACCUUUUAGGAACCAGCCGCCUAAGGUGGGACAGAUGAUUAGGGUGAAG